AGUUUGAUCCUGGCUCAGGAUGAACGCUAGCUACAGGCUUAACACAUGCAAGUCGCGGGGCAGCAUGUUGGUUGCUUGCAACCGAUGAUGGCGACCGGCGCACGGGUGAGUAACGCGUAUCCAACCUACCUAUUACCACGGGAUAACCCGGCGAAAGUCGGACUAAUACCGUAUGUUGUCCUCCAAUGGCAUCAGCAGUGGACUAAAGGUUUAGCGGUAAUGGAUGGGGAUGCGUCCGAUUAGCUAGUUGGUGAGGUAAUGGCUCCCCAAGGCUUCGAUCGGUAGGGGUUCUGAGAGGAAGGUCCCCCACACUGGAACUGAGACACGGUCCAGACUCCUACGGGAGGCAGCAGUGAGGAAUAUUGGUCAAUGGACGAGAGUCUGAACCAGCCAAGUAGCGUGCAGGAUGACUGCCCUAUGGGUUGUAAACUGCUUUUAUGCGGGGAUAAAGUGGGGAACGUGUUCUCUAUUGCAGGUACCGCAUGAAUAAGGACCGGCUAAUUCCGUGCCAGCAGCCGCGGUAAUACGGAAGGUCCGGGCGUUAUCCGGAUUUAUUGGGUUUAAAGGGAGCGUAGGCCGCCCCUUAAGCGUGUUGUGAAAUGCGGGUGCUCAACAUCCGACUUGCAGCGCGAACUGGGGGGCUUGAGUGCGCCGAAAGUAGGCGGAAUUCGUGGUGUAGCGGUGAAAUGCUUAGAUAUCACGAAGAACUCCGAUUGCGAAGGCAGCUUACUGUAGCGCAACUGACGCUGAUGCUCGAAAGCGUGGGUAUCGAACAGGAUUAGAUACCCUGGUAGUCCACGCGGUAAACGAUGGAUGCUCGUUGUCGGCCUUUGUGGUCGGUGACCAAGCGAAAGCGUUAAGCAUCCCACCUGGGGAGUACGCCGGCAACGGUGAAACUCAAAGGAAUUGAC
rnacentral:rRNA from 1 species